CCUACGGGAGGCAGCAGUGGUGAAUAUUGCACAAUGGGGGAAACCCUGAUGCAGCGACGCCGCGUGAGUGAAGAAGGAUUUCGGUAUGUAAAGCUCUAUCAGCAGGGAAGCAAAUGACAGUACCUGACCAAGCAGCCCCGGCUAACUACGUGCCAGCAGCCGCGGUAAUACGUAGGGGGCAAGCGUUAUCCGGAUUUACUGGGUGUAAAGGGAGCGUAGACGGGUAUGUAAGUCUGGAGUGAAAGCCCGGGGCCCAAACCCGUGACCGCUUUGGAAACUGUGUAACUGGAGUACAGGAGGGGCAGGCGGAAUGCCUGGUGUAGCGGUGAAAUGCGUAGAUAUCAGGAGGAACCCCGGUGGCGAAGGCGGCCUGCUGGACUGAAACUGACGUUGAGGCUCGAAAGCGUGGGGAGCAAACAGGAUUAGAUACCCGUGUAGUC
rnacentral:rRNA from 1 species